rnacentral:rRNA from 1 species
AGUCAAUGCUCGCAAGAGUGAACUAGCUAACUGAAAUCAUAGAAUUUUAUAAAAUUCAUGAUGUCGUAAGGGAAAAUAAUGAUAAUACCUUACUAUGAGUGUUGUCCAAAUCUGGUGCCAGAAGACUCGGUAAGACCAGAAACGCAAACGUUAAUCAUCAUAAACAGGCGUAAAGGGUUUGUAGGCAGCUUUUAUCAGAUUAUGCAUUCAAAAUAAAGUAGUCUAAUUAAAAGCUAGAAUCAAAAAGAGGUUAUAGUGUAUAACGCCUAGAGGAGGGCUGAUAUCCAUAGAUCCUAGGCAGAAUACUAAGGGCGAAGGCCACUUUCCAUUAAUGAUUGACGCUGAGAAACGAAGGUUAGGGUAAGAAAUAGGAUUAGAUACCCCGGUACUCCUUUCUGUAAACGAUGAAUGGUAGUCAUUAGUUUUGUAUAAAAAAAUAAUUCAAAAUAACUAGAGACGAAGUUAACACAAUAACCAUUCCGCCUUGUGAGUACUACUGCAAAGUAGAAAACAAAAAAAUUAGUCGGUCUCGAAGCAAACGGAGUGAAGCAUGUUAUU